rnacentral:rRNA from 1 species
UUGCGAGUAGGUGACAGCGGGCGCGGUAAGGCUGAGGGUGCAAGGUGUGUGUUGAGUUGUGGGGCGUAAGGGGCGUGAUGGAGGCACGGUAUGUUGGUCGUGAAAUGCCCGGGUUCAAGUCGGGGUGGUGGUUCAGAACUGCCGUGCAAGAUGGUGGGAGAGGGAAGUGGAAUUCCGGGUGUAGCGGUGAAAUGCGUAGAUAUCGGGAAGAACACCUGUGGCGAAGGCGGCUUCCUGGCCCGCAACUGACGCUGAGGCGCGAAAGCUAGGGGAGCAAACAGGAUUAGAUACCCCAGUAGUC